UACGUAGGUCCCGAGCGUUGUCCGGAUUUAUUGGGCGUAAAGCGAGCGCAGGUGGUUUAUUAAGUCUGGUGUAAAAGGCAGUGGCUCAACCAUUGUAUGCAUUGGAAACAGGUAGACUUGAGUGCAGGAGAGGAGAGUGGAAUUCCAUGUGUAGCGGUGAAAUGCGUAGAUAUAUGGAGGAACACCGGUGGCGAAAGCGGCUCUCUGGCCUGCAACUGACACUGAGGCUCGAAAGCGUGGGGAGCAAACAGG
rnacentral:rRNA from 1 species